GAUGACAGAGAUGAAGAUGAGGAGGAAGAGAAGAGGCCGGAAGAUGUGUUGGCUGAUUUGAAGAAGAUGAUAACUGAGGAAAUAGAAAAGGUGAAAGAGGCGGCGGAGAAAAAAGCAAAAGAGUUGGCUGAGAAAUCCAAGGAUAAGACUGCUAAAAAUGUGAAGAAGCAACCAGCUGACGGUAAGGAGAAGACACCUGAUGAAGGGGAGAAGAAACCUAUCCCACCUCCUUAUCUUCUGUUGAUUCUUGAUGAUGAAGGAAACAAGACUAGUGAGGACAAGGUGAUGAAGGAACUAAAACUUGAGAUGUUUCUU
rnacentral:lncRNA from 1 species